rnacentral:rRNA from 2 species
UGAGGAAUAUUGGUCAAUGGACGAGAGUCUGAACCAGCCAAGUCGCGUGAAGGAAGACGGCCCUACGGGUUGUAAACUUCUUUUGUAAGGGAAUAAAUAGUCUUACGCGCUAAGACGUUGCAGGUACCUUACGAAUAAGGAUCGGCUAACUCCGUGCCAGCAGCCGCGGUAAUACGGAGGAUCCGAGCGUUAUCCGGAUUUAUUGGGUUUAAAGGGUGCGCAGGCGGCAUGUUAAGUCGGCGGUGAAAUUUUGCAGCUCAACUGUAAAAGAGCCUUCGAAACUGGCAAGCUUGAGUGUGGAUGAAGUAGGCGGAAUUUGUGGUGUAGCGGUGAAAUGCAUAGAUAUCACAAAGAACACCGAUUGCGCAGGCAGCUUACUAAACCAUAACUGACGCUCAUGCACGAAGGCGUGGGGAUCAAACAGG